rnacentral:rRNA from 1 species
UACGGGGGGGAGCAAGCGUUGUUCGGAUUUACUGGGCGUAAAGGGCGCGUAGGCGGUCGUGACAAGUCACUUGUGAAAUCUCCGGGCUUAACUCGGCACGGUCAAGUGAUACUGUCGGACUAGAGUACAGAAGGGGCAACUGGAAUUCUCGGUGUAGCGGUGAAAUGCGUAGAUAUCAAGAGGAACACCUGAGGCGAAGGCGGGUUGCUAGGCUGACACUGACGCUGAGUGCGCGAAAGCCAGGGGAGCAAACGGG